GCAGUCGAGAAACCUCCGCAAUACACGAAAGUGUGACGGGGCCAUCCCGAGUGCCGUCCGCUGAGGACGGCUUUUCCCCAGUGUACACAGCUGGGGGAAUAAGGAGAGGGCAAGCCUGGUGUCAGCCGCCGCGGUAAUACCAGCUCUCCGAGUGGUGGGGACGCUUAUUGGGCCUAAAGCAUCCGUAGCCGGCUGGGCAAGUCCUCCGUUAAAUCCAACGAUUCAAUCGUUGGGCUGCGGGGGAUACUGUCCAGCUUGGGGGCGGGAGAGGCCGACGGUAUUCCCGGGGUAGGGGUGAAAUCCUAUAAUCCCGGGAGGACCACCAGUGGCGAAGGCUGUCGGCUAGAACGCGCCCGACGGUGAGGGAUGAAAGCUGGGGGAGCGAACCGGAUUAGAUACCCGGGUA
rnacentral:rRNA from 1 species